rnacentral:tRNA from 1 species
UGGGGUGCAGCUCAGUGGUAGAGCACUUGCUUAGUAUGUGGGAGACCCAGGGUUCAAUCCCUAGCACAGCAA